UGGUAUUCGAGUCAGGUUCGGGUC
rnacentral:siRNA from 1 species